GGCGUGGUGGUGUAGUUGGAAACAUGUCCUCUUCAUGUGCGGGCUCGACUCACGGAAUUAGGUAUGAGGAAGUCCCUUGUUCAAAUCAAGGUCAAGCUG